rnacentral:rRNA from 1 species
AGUAACACGUGGACAACCUACCCUUUAAUCCGGGAUAAUCCACCGAAAGGCGGUCUAAUACCGGAUAAGACCAAUUAGGGGCAUCUCUUUUUGGUUAAAGGCGGGGCAACCUGCCGUUUUAGGAUGGGUCCGCGCUCCAUUAGCUUGUUGGUGAGGUAACGGCUCACCAAGGCAAUGAUGGAUAGCCGGCUUGAGAGAGCGAUCGGCCACACUGGGACUGAGAUACGGCCCAGACUCCUACGGGAGGCAGCAGUAGGGAAUAUUGCGCAAUGGACGAAAGUCUGACGCAGCAACGCCGCGUGGGUGAUGAAGCAUCUUGGUGCGUAAAACCCUGUCAGUGGGGAAGAACCGUAUAGGGAGUAACUGUCCUAUGCCUGACGGUACCCACAAAGGAAGUCCCGGCUAACUCCGUGCCAGCAGCCGCGGUGAUACGGGGGGGACAAGCGUUGUUCGGAUUUACUGGGCGUAAAGGGCGCGUAGGCGGACCUUCAAGUCGGAUGUGAAA